UUAUGUUUAUGUCACGGGGUGACGAUUUUUCGGGGUGGAACCAAAAGUUGAAGAAGUUUGGUUCCGCCCGGAUGUUUCCGUCCAGACCGGAAAACAGAAACACCGGACAUCCGGCAGCUUCGCGAAGGCUGUAAUCAGCCGAUUGGGCACAGCUGUGCCUAGUUAAAGAGAUCGCCGGGCAAUUGGAUAACUGGAGUACAGAGAGGAGUAUAAAAAGCACAGUUAGAUCACAGUUGAGGGUCGUAGUGUGUGCUGAGGAACGGAGCUGUGCUCAUUGUUAGACGUGGUGGCUGUCUGUAUUUCUCUCUCUCUCCCUCUCUUGUUGUAGUUUACGGUGGACCUGCUGGAGUAAAUGAAGAAUCCUAUGGGUAGAAAGGAACCUUGGUCUAACCAGUAUUUUUGAAGGAGUAAACAGGAAGAAAAUUGACCUUGUUGCACAACGUAAACAAAGGCUAUCCGCUGUGAGUAUACCCGUUGGUGUGGAGUAACUUGCAUAAAUUAACCUGUGUGAUCGUUGGAGUCCUCCAGGACUAGGAGGGCGGCCCUACCCCUAUAACAGCGUGGUGGGCGAGCCGCUAGAAGUGUACGUCCAAACAGCCACAGCAACGAGACUUUAUUUUGGUCGUGUUUCCAUCGCCCCUCUUUCAGCCCAAGCGCAGUGGAGGACACCGGGCGCUUUCCCUUGUGGUGUUGCACUGAUAGUGUGAGUCAGAGGCGAAAGGGUCCGCCGCCCCCGUGGUCUCUACAAAAGGGCGCCCCUGUCCAGGAUUCGAUCGGCCUACGGGCAGUGGAGGUAGGGCAGCGCUCGACCCGGCGAGGUGGUGUGUGACCUUCGCCCCUCUGCUGACCUACAGAGGAAACCGUACCUACCCAGAAAGCUGUAAGCAGCAGAGCCGGUGAGAGAUACUCGAAGUUUCAGUAACAGUGUCUUUGUGUCCUAGCGACCACCUGUGGAGA